AAAAAACGCCGGUUCGAUCCCUCUUUUUCCUCUUCCUUUUUUGGAGGGCACGAUGAUCUCAUAACACCAAAACACAGCUCUCCACCCCUACACUUUCAGAAUCCAGAUUCCAGAGGAGAGAAAGAAGCUGAGGAAAGGGAGGGUCUGCUAGAGAGAGACAGAGAUGGGAGAGAGAGACGGAGUAGGCUUCUGGCAGGCCUCCGGCGGCAGCAACGGUGGUUAAACGGUCCAAAUGAUGGUGGAUUCAAUUGACAUUAGGGUUCAGGUGUUUAGAAACGGCGAUGAUGGUGGAUCUAGAUAUUGAACACGGUGACGUUUGUUAGGGUUCCGCCGUGCACGGCGGAGGAGAUGGUGGGUCACCGGCGCCAUCAUGGAGAUCCGCUGAUGAACCAGGAACCCGAACUCCGGUGGAUCUGACGACUGAGGUCAUAUUAUGAAUAGAGGAGAAAGGGCGCAAAGAAGAGAGACGAAAUGUGGAAGUUCAACCCAAAAUCUCUGAAAGAGCUGAAGGAAACAUGUUUUGAUUAUGCUUUUGUUCUCUCAAAACCCUAACACAUCGGAAACAAUGGCGGUUUCUUCCAAAUCUUCGUAUAGACAAGCCAAUAAUGAACAACAGCCUGUGUAACAGCUUAUACAUUCUCAAACCCUAACACAUUGGAACUUCGAUUUGUGACAGAUUUUGAAAGCAAAAUGUACGGUGAGCCGGAGAAAUGGAUACUGAUGGUGACGGCGAGGACGCCGACGAACAUAGCUUUGAUCAGUGAUAAUAUUAGUGUUACUCUCGAUCCAAAUCAUCUGUGUACCACCACCACGGUGUCUGCUAGCCCUAGCUUUGAUCAAGAUCGCAUGUGGUUGAACGGAGAGGAGAUAUCUCUUGAAGGGGGUAGAUUCCAAAGUUGUUUGGGAGAAAUUCGUGCGCGUGCACAAGAUGUAGACGGCAAGAAAAAAAGGUAUCAAAAUUAAGAAGGAAGAUUGGCAAAAACUUCAUCUGCACAUUGCUUCAUACAACAAUUUCCCGGUGGCUGAUGGUCUUGAUUGCCUAGUUUUUUCUCUUGCAAAGCUGAUGAAUCUCAAAGAAGACAACAGACAACUUUUUGCUAUUGUUAGGUACUUUUUUGAUUUUCCAUUUCUUACAACCAGGCCUGAAUGAUUAUUCUCACCUUCACGUUUUGCCCCGAUCAUGUUAGUUUCUACUUUUCCUAUGAGAUAUAUGAAGUGACUUCAUCUUUUGGCAUUCAUGUAAUCUAUCAACACUCAAAAUGACAUGUACAUUGUCGCUCCCUGAUACAAACCCAAUUGAUCCAGGCCCAGCUCCACUUGUCUAUAUUAAAAGCAUAAAGUCGGUGCACUUUACUGAUUUGGUCCUUCCUUUCCUUUUCAAACUUCACCCUCCAACUUGCUUUGUAUUUUCCUGUUUCCCCUUACAAACUCAGCUAUGUCCUUUUUCUUUAACCUGUCUUGCUCCGGUGUUAAAGCUUUGUUCCAGCUUUUUGUCGAACGACAACAAUCGGAACCUCAAAACUGAAGAUUUACAAAACUAUAACAUGUAACCCUAGAGUGAAAAACUUGUCGACUAAUGGGUCUCACCAUUUUAGCUCUAGACCUUCAAAUCGCGUAGAAGGAUUUAAACUUGCAGCGAUUUUCAGAGCCAGAAGCUUUCUAUGCUUUAUCAGAUUUGCCGUUCAGGCCAGUGUUGCUGUUUGCCUUCCUUUUAAUUCAUAGCCUAGGGUUUCUUCUUUGUCUAUUGUCUUUGGGUUACACUAAUUGUCUUUGUCAGUGGUUUUUAAUUCUUUGGAUUUCAUAUGUUGAAUGGUUACUUUUCUUUGAAUGCAUGAUUAUUAGACACAGUGAUAUUGAAGGUUUCGUUGAUUCACCUGGAUUGGAACACUUUUUAGCAAAUGAAUAUUAUUGUUUUUGAAUGUUUGCUGUUGGAUAAAGGUAAAACUGGUUUGUUCUUUAAUUGAUUAUUGAAUUGAAUGUUUGGCUUUUAUUUGAAUGCAUGAUGAUUAGACACAUUGUUAUUGAUGUCUUUCACUAUUGUUUAAACAUCCACAUAGGUUAUUUAUAGUCAAAAUUGGGUUCUGGUCAAAUGGGUAGCUGUUGGUUUAACCCAUAAAACACAAUAUUCUGUUUCGUAUAUAACUGUAUUCACAAAUAGUUUUUGCUUUAAAGCAUGAAGCAAUAGAGAGGGUACUUUUAGCCUAUUUGUGUGGAAACGAGUCAGAUGGAUAAACCAUAAGAGUAGUUUAUAAUGUUAAUUAUCAACUGGUCAAUUUUUGUAAAUCUGUUGUGUCAGCCAAAAGAAAUUUAAACUAUAUUGUUUUUGCUUCGUUUAAGUGGGUAUGAGUCUCGGGUUUAUCCCUCUCAAAACAC